rnacentral:rRNA from 1 species
AGAGUUUGAUCCUGGCUCAGGAUGAACGCUGGCGGCGUGCUUAACACAUGCAAGUCGAACGAUGAUCCCAGCUUGCUGGGGGAUUAGUGGCGAACGGGUGAGUAACACGUGAGUAACCUGCCCUUAACUCUGGGAUAAGCCUGGGAAACUGGGUCUAAUACCGGAUAUGACUCCUCAUCGCAUGGUGGGGGGUGGAAAGCUUUAUUGUGGUUUUGGAUGGACUCGCGGCCUAUCAGCUUGUUGGUGAGGUAAUGGCUCACCAAGGCGACGACGGGUAGCCGGCCUGAGAGGGUGACCGGCCACACUGGGACUGAGACACGGCCCAGACUCCUACGGGAGGCAGCAGUGGGGAAUAUUGCACAAUGGGCGAAAGCCUGAUGCAGCGACGCCGCGUGAGGGAUGACGGCCUUCGGGUUGUAAACCUCUUUCAGUAGGGAAGAAGCGAAAGUGACGGUACCUGCAGAAGAAGCGCCGGCUAACUACGUGCCAGCAGCCGCGGUAAUACGUAGGGCGCAAGCGUUAUCCGGAAUUAUUGGGCGUAAAGAGCUCGUAGGCGGUUUGUCGCGUCUGCCGUGAAAGUCCGGGGCUCAACUCCGGAUCUGCGGUGGGUACGGGCAGACUAGAGUGAUGUAGGGGAGACUGGAAUUCCUGGUGUAGCGGUGAAAUGCGCAGAUAUCAGGAGGAACACCGAUGGCGAAGGCAGGUCUCUGGGCAUUAACUGACGCUGAGGAGCGAAAGCAUGGGGAGCGAACAGGAUUAGAUACCCCAGUAGUCC